ensembl:ncRNA T04D3.9 ncRNA
UAUCAAAAAGUUGUCAACUGAUAAAAUGUCGAGCAUAAAACGAUGAGCAUUUUGUUAGUUGACAUAAUUUUGAUAU